rnacentral:tRNA from 2 species
UCGCUGGUGGUCCAGUGGUUAAGACUCUGCACUUCCAAUGCAGAGGUCCCAGGUUCGAUCCCUGGUCAGGGAA